UAAAAGAAGUUUGAUGAAGUCAUGUGUGGAAAGAAAUUUAAGGCAUGUUCGGUUCAUGAUUGGAAUAAUAAUGAAUAUAAAAAUGAAUUAUUUUGGAAUAAAAAAUAGAAUGAUGAUAAAUUAUCCAAAAAUAUUUGGUUCAUUAUUGGAAUGAAAAUCGAGAUGAAAAUUUAGAAUCUUGAGAUAGAAUUUUGAUUAAGAGAGAGAAAAAUGAUAAAGGGAGAGGAGGGGGAGGUGUUUGUAAAAGAGGAUUUUAAGUAGUAUAUUUUAAAAUGAGCCAAUUCAGAAUUCAAAACUGAAUAAAUAAAUUUGAUCAUUUCCAUUCUAGAGUAAGAAUCAAAAUUUGAUUCUUGUAAAAUAAAUAAUAAUAGCUAUCGAAAUUAAUAAAUCUCAUUUUGAUUCUACAGUAU
rnacentral:lncRNA from 1 species